AGAGCGAACGCUGGCGGCAGGCCUAAUACAUGCAAGUCGAACGCACCUUCGGGUGAGUGGCGGACGGGUGAGUAACACGUGGGAACGUGCCUUUUGGUUCGGAAUAAUCCGGGGAAACCUGGCCUAAUACCGGAUGUGCCCUUCGGGGGAAAGAUUUAUCGCCAUUAGAGCGGCCCGCGUCUGAUUAGCUUGUUGGUGGGGUAAUGGCCCACCAAGGCUACGAUCAGUAGCUGGUCUGAGAGGAUGAUCAGCCACACUGGGACUGAGACACGGCCCAGACUCCUACGGGAGGCAGCAGUAGGGAAUCUUGCGCAAUGGGCGAAAGCCUGACGCAGCCAUGCCGCGUGAAUGAUGAAGGUCUUAGGAUUGUAAAAUUCUUUCAGCGGGAAGAUAAAUGACUGUACCCGCAGAAGAAGCUCCGGCUAACUUCGUGCCAGCAGCCGC
rnacentral:rRNA from 1 species